rnacentral:rRNA from 1 species
GCCCUACGGGGUGCAGCAGGCGCGAAAACUUUACAAUGCUGGGAACAGCGAUAAGGGAACCUCGAGUGCCAGGUUACAAAUCUGGCUGUCGUGAUGCCUAAAAAGCAUUAUAUAGCAAGGGCCGGGCAAGACCGGUGCCAGCCGCCGCGGUAACACCGGCGGCUCGAGUGGUGGCCACUUUUAUUGGGCUUAAAGCGUUCGUAGCUGGGUUGUUAAGUCUCUUGGGAAAUCUGGCGGCUUAACCGUCAGGCGUCUAAGGGAUACUGGCAAUCUUGGAACCGGGAGAGGUGAGGGGUACUUCGGGGGUAGGAGUGAAAUCCUGUAAUCCUCGAGGGACCACCUGUGGCGAAGGCGCCUCACCAGAACGGCUUCGACAGUGAGGGACGAAAGCUGGGGGAGCAAACCGGAUUAGAUACCCGGGUAGUCCCAGCCGUAAACGAUGCGCGUUAGGUGUAUCGGUGACCACGAGUCACCGAGGUGCCGAAGGGAAACCGUGAAACGUGCCGCCUGGGAAGUACGGUCGCAAGGCUGAAACUUAAAGGAAUUGGUGGGGGAGCACCACAACGGGUGGAGCUUGCGGUUUAAUUGGAUUCAACGCCGGAAAUCUUAC